UACGAGGGGGGCGAGCGUUGUUCGGAAUUAUUGGGCGUAAAGGGUGCGUAGGCGGUUUGGUAAGUCUGAUGUGAAAUCUAUGGGCUCAACUCAUAGUCUGCAUCGGAAACUGCCGGGCUUGAGUAUGGGAGAGGUGAGUGGAAUUCCUGGUGUAGCGGUGAAAUGCGUAGAUAUCAGGAGGAACACCUGUGGCGAAAGCGGCUCACUGGACCAUAACUGACGCUGAUGCACGAAAGCCAGGGGAGCGAACGGG
rnacentral:rRNA from 1 species